UCAGGACGAACGCUGGCGGCGUGCUAAUACAUGCAAGUCGAGCGGACAAUAGGGAGCUUGCUCCCUAUUGUUAGCGGCGGACGGGUGAGUAACACGUGGGCAACCUGCCCUGUAGACUGGGAUAACAUCGAGAAAUCGGUGCUAAUACCGGAUAAUAAAUGGAAUUGCAUAAUUCCAUUAUAAAAGAUGGCUCCGGCUAUCACUACAGGAUGGGCCCGCGGCGCAUUAGCUAGUUGGUAAGGUAACGGCUUACCAAGGCAACGAUGCGUAGCCGACCUGAGAGGGUGAUCGGCCACACUGGGACUGAGACACGGCCCAGACUCCUACGGGAGGCAGCAGUAGGGAAUCUUCCGCAAUGGACGAAAGUCUGACGGAGCAACGCCGCGUGAGCGAUGAAGGCCUUCGGGUUGUAAAGCUCUGUUGUUAGGGAAGAACAAGUGCCAUUCAAAUAGGGUGGCACCUUGACGGUACCUAACCAGAAAGCCACGGCUAACUACGUGCCAGCAGCCGCGGUAAUACGUAGGUGGCAAGCGUUGUCCGGAAUUAUUGGGCGUAAAGCGCGCGCAGGCGGUCUUUUAAGUCUGAUGUGAAAGCCCCCGGCUCAACCGGGGAGGGUCAUUGGAAACUGGGAGACUUGAGUACAGAAGAGGAGAGUGGAAUUCCACGUGUAGCGGUGAAAUGCGUAGAUAUGUGGAGGAACACCAGUGGCGAAGGCGACUCUCUGGUCUGUAACUGACGCUGAGGCGCGAAAGCGUGGGGAGCAAAAAAGGAUUAGAUACCCUGGUAGUCCACGCCGUAAACGAUGAUACUAGGUGUUAGGGGUUUCGAUGCCCUUAGUGCCGAAGUUAACACAGUAAGCA
rnacentral:rRNA from 1 species